rfam:Flavobacterium sp. KMS contig038, whole genome shotgun sequence.
UUCUAGCCCAGAUAGGAACGGCAUCCUUUGCUUGCCUUCUUUAGGCAAGUAAAGAUAAAGUGGAUAGCUGGAAAUAGC